rnacentral:rRNA from 1 species
CCUACGGGUGGCAGCAGUGAGGAAUAUUGAACAAUGGGCGCGAGCCUGAACCAGCCAAGUAGCGUGAAGGAUGACUGCCCUACGGGUUGUAAACUUCUUUUAUAAAGGAAUAAAGUGAGGCACGUGUGCCUUUUCGCUUGUACUUUAUGAAUAAGGAUCGGCUAACUCCGGGCCAGCAGCCGCGGUAAUACGGAGGAUCCGAGCGUUAUCCGGAUUUAAUUGGGUGAAAGGGAGGGUAGAUGGGGUGUUAAGGCAGUUGUGAAAGUUUGCGGCUCAACCGUAAAAUCGCAAUUGAUACUGGCAUUCUUGAGUGCAGUUGAGGUAGGCGGAAUUCGUGGUGUAGCGGUGAAAUGCUUAGAUAUCACGAAGAACUCCGAUUGCGAAGGCAGCUUACUGGACUGCCACUGACGUUGAUGCUCGAAAGUGUGGGUAUCAAACAGGAUUAGAUACCCCUGUAGUC